GACGAACGCUGGCGGCGUGCUUAACACAUGCAAGUCGAACGGUAAGGCCCUUCGGGGUACACGAGUGGCGAACGGGUGAGUAACACGUGGGUGAUCUGCCCUGCACUUCGGGAUAAGCCUGGGAAACUGGGUCUAAUACCGGAUAGGACUCCGGACUGCAUGGGCUGGGGUGGAAAGCUUUUGCGGUGUGGGAUGGGCCCGCGGCCUAUCAGCUUGUUGGUGGGGUGAUGGCCUACCAAGGCGACGACGGGUAGCCGGCCUGAGAGGGUGACCGGCCACACUGGGAAUGGGAUACGGCGCAGACUCCUACGGGAGGCAGCGGUGGGGAAUAUUGCACAGUGGGCGCAAGCCUGACGCAGCGACGCCGCGUGAGGGAUGACGGCCUUCGGGUUGUAAACCUCUUUCAGCAUCGACGAAGCGAAAGUGACGGUAGGUGCAGAAGAAGGACCGGCCAACUACGUGCCAGCAGCCGCGGUAA
rnacentral:rRNA from 1 species